UACAGAGGGGGCGAGCGUUGUUCGGAAUUACUGGGCGUAAGGGGCGCGUAGGCGGCCUUCUAAGUCGAACGUGAAAUCCCCGGGCUCAACCCGGGAACUGCGUCCGAUACUGGGAGGCUUGAAUCCGGGAGAGGGAUGUGGAAUUCCAGGUGUAGCGGUGAAAUGCGUAGAUAUCUGGAGGAACACCGGUGGCGAAGGCGGCAUCCUGGACCGGUAUUGACGCUGAGGCGCGAAAGCCAGGGGAGCAAACGGG
rnacentral:rRNA from 1 species